rnacentral:rRNA from 1 species
UACGUAGGGGGCAAGCGUUGUCCGGAAUCAUUGGGCGUAAAGAGCGUGUAGGCGGCCCGGUAAGUCCGCUGUGAAAGUCCAGGGCUCAACCCUGGGAUGCCGGUGGAUACUGUCGGGCUCGAGUCCGGAAGAGGAGUGUGGAAUUCCUGGUGUAGCGGUGAAAUGCGCAGAUAUCUGGAGGAACACCGGUGGCGAAGGCGGCAUCCUGGACCGACACUGACACUGAGGAGCGAAAGCCAGGGGAGCAAACGGG